UAAAUGCAUAAUCUGGUAUGUG
rnacentral:miRNA from 10 species